AUUGAACGCUGGCGGCAUGCCUUACACAUGCAAGUCGAACGGCAGCACGGGUGCUUGCACCUGGUGGCGAGUGGCGAACGGGUGAGUAAUACAUCGGAACAUGUCCUGUAGUGGGGGAUAGCCCGGCGAAAGCCGGAUUAAUACCGCAUACGAUCUACGGAUGAAAGCGGGGGACCUUCGGGCCUCGCGCUAUAGGGUUGGCCGAUGGCUGAUUAGCUAGUUGGUGGGGUAAAGGCCUACCAAGGCGACGAUCAGUAGCUGGUCUGAGAGGACGACCAGCCACACUGGGACUGAGACACGGCCCAGACUCCUACGGGAGGCAGCAGUGGGGAAUUUUGGACAAUGGGCGAAAGCCUGAUCCAGCAAUGCCGCGUGUGUGAAGAAGGCCUUCGGGUUGUAAAGCACUUUUGUCUGGAAAGAAAUCCUUGGCUCUAAUACAGUCGGGGGAUGACGGUACCGGAAGAAUAAGCACCGGCUAACUACGUG
rnacentral:rRNA from 1 species